AACCCGCAUCUAAUUUAAUUGCACUAUGGCGGUAUGAAAAUAAUUUUUUAAUAAGUUACAGGACACAGGAACACUCAGCACACUUCAGAGAACACAUUUGUCCACGCUCGACAUGCUUGUAUAUGUGACCUGCUGCGACUGACCUAUUUAACUCCGUGAACUGCAGAAUGACUGAACGAUAUUCUCCUCUAGAGGCGAACGCGUCACGUCUGACCUGCUGGGUUUGACCUACUUAACACUGUGAACUCUGGGGCGUCGGGAACUUCGACAUGCGCACACUCGCCGAACAAAAAAUCCAAACAAAGCGACUGACUCGUGCGGUCUUUGACGCGUUUCUGAUGUUCUCACAGCACAAGUGCCCUGCAGCUUCAUUACAGACUUCUCUAACACCAAACUGUUUUCGUUAUGCCAUCUGUCUCUCUGAAAAAGAAAAAGAAACCGAGAGCAAAAACGUGACAUGACAAAAGGACUCUGUCGCCAUCUUGUGAUGAUUUUGUGAAUGAUGGCCAAGUGUCUUCAACAGAGGAAUGGCCCCUGUUGGAGCUGUUAUCUGUGGCAUUAUUCUGCCAGAGCGAUGGGCUGGACUCCGGAGGGGACAGCUGAGUCAUUUGGCAAAGACCGCCGAGCCAAUUGGUCAGGGAAGUUAUGAGGACAACACUGGAUUUGUGAGCACCUUACAGCACCAUCUCCCCUCAGACAGCACAGCCAGCAGGAAGCACAGUCAGCAGGUCGGGAAUGACUUUCAGGACAAAAAACUAUUGCCAGCUAAUAUCAUUUACCAGCCUGAUCUCACAAGAAAACGUAAGUAUUUUACGUUUUGCCAGUUUAGUGGCUAAUUCGUACGAAUUCGUACGAGUUCAGUCGUACGAAAUGGUACGAUUUUAAAAAGGAGGCGUGGCACCUGACCCCACCCCUAACCCCAACCGUCAUUGGGGGAUAAACAAAUCGUACUAAAUUGUACGAAUUAGAUCGUACGAAUUCAUACGAAUUAGCCACUAAAUGAAAAAGUUACGAAUUGCCGUGAGAU
rnacentral:lncRNA from 1 species